ensembl:lncRNA
GAAGAGCUGACAAGAUGGCAAAAUGAGAAGGACACAUUUUGCUGAUGCUGCUGACUUAGAAGAUUGAGGAAUGUGUCAUGAAUCAAGGAAAACAGAGGAACUCUAGAAGUUGGAAUUUCUAGAAGCUGAAAAAUGUACCCUUGAUGUAUUUCUGCUUGGAAUAACGUUUAAGUAAUGUUGUGCCCCUCUCAGAAGAUCACAUUUGAAAGCACAUGAUGUCCAUCUGUCCCCACUGGCGAUAACAAUUUUGAAUACCCAGAGAAGAAGAUGUCUGAUUUCUCUACUGCACAAUUUACAAGUUUCCCCCACUGCAACUAUUAUGCAAUUUGCAGGAAACACUUUUAAGAUCCUCCUCCUCGACCAUAAUUAUGGACUUUUUUAACGUACAAUAUUUUCAUGCAUCCAGAAACCACAAUUAUGCAAAAAGGCAUACUCAGAGAAACAUCUCUCCAUCUCAUAUCCAUUCCACUCUGUUUCCCAUAACCUCUUCAAGGUAAAGUUCAUUGUUGUUUGGUUUUUCUUUCCUAUAUUUCUCUUUGGAGAGAGAAGCAAAUUUGAAUAUGCUUUCUUAGCCCUUCUUUUUUUUAAAAAAAACAAAACAUGACUUCAUAUAUGUGUUAGUUUACACUUUACUUUUUUUAGUUUAUAAUACCUCCUAGAAAUUCCUCUAUAUCUGUUCCUAGAUUUCUUUGUAUUCUUAAAAAGUUUUAUAAUAUUACAUAUCGUGUACAUAACCCAAUGUAUCUUCCAUUCUUGAAUAGUUUCCAAUAUUUUCCAGUGAUAAAUUAUGCUCCAGUGACUAACUUUGUGCAUAUGUAUUUUUCUAUUUAUGGAGAUGUAUCUUCAGGGUAUAUUCUUAGAAGUGGGAUUGCUGAGUUGAAAGGUAGAUGCAUAUGUAGUUUCAUUAAAUAUUGCCAAACGCCUCUCCAUAGGGGUUGUAGCAAUCUGCAGCCACACUAACAGUGAAUGAGGCUUUAUGUUCCCCCCUGUUUUCACCCACAGUGAACUGUCAAGCUUUUGAAUCAUUGCCAAUUUGAUGAGUUAUGGUAUUCUGUUUACAGAAACUUUGUGAAGCAAGGAUUAUUAUCUUUACAGUAUAGGUAAAGAAUGAGAGCUGCAAAGAGAUUCUGUAACUUUCUAAGGUUCAGCGAUAAGUCAUUGGUGGAACCCAGAUUCAAACCCAUGUAAUUUUUCAAGAGGAAAUUGAAGAUUUAUCUUUUUCAAAAUUUACCCAGGAAAGUAGACUUGAUGGUUCGUGGUUGUAGUUCAUGUCACUAUACAUGAAAAACAAAGACACUGGUUUCUAAGGCAAUAAUAAGAAGUCAUUCUCCGUAUGUCAAACAUUAUAAAAACCUGUAAUUUAAGGGGAUAAAGCAGAGGCCUGGAGGAGAAUAACAGAAUCUUAAGAAAAGUAAAAGUAGGUUGACCAUAUAAUUGUCCAUCCAUGAUCAUUUUGAGAGUAAAAGAACACUAAUAUUUAGAAUGAUAUUUACACAAUUCUAAGAUUUUGAAACAUUUGUUGAGAAACAAAUUUGGUUUUUAUAUUGAUGGACAUAUAAAAGAAUUCUAUUCAACAACUAUUUUCAAAAAUAAAAUUAUUUCUAAAAUAUAAAAAGUAUAAACUCAUAUUUUAUAAAAAAUGAAAAAUUCUUUACUGAUUAACUGAGUAUUAAAAGUAACAGCAGUAUAAUUAAUUUUUGGCUAAAAUGUAUUCAUGUACAUUAUAAGUAUCAUAACUUAUAAAAUGUCUCUAAUAUCAUGUCAAAGGUAUUUUUCUAAAGAAAUUAUUUUUAACCUGACAUUUUAAUUCUAUAUUUCACAAAAUUGCCUGCAUUAUUCUUAUUGUAUCAAAUGGUUAAUAAAUUUGAAAUUGUUGACGCUUUCAAUUGACCACUCUCUAAAUAUUUCUAAAUGACAAAACAGUAAGCUCUGAAAAAAAUCAGCCACGUAGCAAAAUUCUUCAUAAUAAUUCUUUGUCUUGAAAUGUGUAAAUAUUUUGGUGCAAAUGUUUUCAUAGAUAUUUUCAUUGCCUUCGUUCAGACUAACUUUCCUAAUCAAAUAUUUUUACAGUACAAAACUCACAAAUGUGUUAUCUCUGUUUAUGGUUCAUUUGAGUAUUUUACUAAGUGUAGGUGCUCCAAAGUAAAAGAUUUCAAUUUCAUUCUCUUCUUGUACAGAAGAUAAAGGAGGCUUCCUACAAGUUGAAAUAUCCCACAGCUCACUUAUGAAAUUGUGCUCUUAUUGAUUAAUUUGUUCCCUUUCUCCCUUGCUUUUAUGUGAACCAAUUAUAUUGCUUUUCUGUUUCAAACAUUUGUUUCAAUAAUUCGAAGUGGCUAAAUCUUCACUUUCUAUUCUAUUCACAUUCUAUUUGUUGAAUAUUUUAAUUAAAGACUUUCUAUUGAUUUUAACAAAAUGUAGUCAAUAUGUUGGAGAAUUAAUUAUGUCCCCAAAUCUAAUUCCACUGUAGGACACGUGGACUGAUUUUAAAAAGUGGUUAUUUAAAGGUUCAAAAAUUCUAAAAUCCAGUUGAGAUAAAA